GAUGAACGCUGGCGGCGUGCCUAAUACAUGCAAGUCGAGCGAACGGACGAGAAGCUUGCUUCUCUGAUGUUAGCGGCGGACGGGUGAGUAACACGUGGAUAACCUACCUAUAAGACUGGGAUAACUUCGGGAAACCGGAGCUAAUACCGGAUAAUAUUUUGAACCGCAUGGUUCAAAAGUGAAAGACGGUCUUGCUGUCACUUAUAGAUGGAUCCGCGCUGCAUUAGCUAGUUGGUAAGGUAACGGCUUACCAAGGCAACGAUGCAUAGCCGACCUGAGAGGGUGAUCGGCCACACUGGAACGGAGACACGGUCCAGACUCCUACGGGAGGCAGCAGUAGGGAAUCUUCCGCAAUGGGCGGAAGCCUGACGGAGCAACGCCGCGUGAGUGAUGAAGGUCUUCGGAUCGUAAAACUCUGUUAUUAGGGAAGAACAUAUGUGUAAGUAACUGUGCACAUCUUGACGGUAUCUAAUCAGAAAGCCACGGCUAACUACGUG
rnacentral:rRNA from 1 species